GUAGGGAAUAUUGGACAAUGGGGGGAACCCUGAUCCAGCCAUGCCGCGUGGAGGAAGACUGCCCUCUGGGUUGUAAACUCCUUUUAUAUGGGAAGAACCGUCCUCAUUAAUGAGUGACCUGACGGUACCAUAGGAAUAAGCACCGGCUAACUCCGUGCCAGCAGCCGCGGUAAUACGGAGGGUGCAAGCGUUAUCCGGAUUCACUGGGUUUAAAGGGUGCGUAGGCGGAUAAAUAAGUCAGUGGUGAAAUCAACGGGCUCAACCUGUUAACUGCCAUUGAUACUGUGUAUCUUGAAUAUGAGAGAGGUAGACGGAAUGUUGCAUGUAGCGGUGAAAUGCUUAGAUAUGCUACGGAACACCGAUUGCGAAGGCAGCUUACUAUUUCGUAAUUGACGCUGAGGCACGAAAGCGUGGGUAGCGAACAGGAUUAGAAACCCUGGUAGUCC
rnacentral:rRNA from 1 species